rnacentral:rRNA from 1 species
AUGCACGCUGGCGGCGUGCCUAAUACAUGCAAGUCGAGCGAACAGAUGAGGAGCUUGCUCCUCUGACGUUAGCGGCGGACGGGUGAGUAACACGUGGAUAACCUACCUAUAAGACUGGGAUAACUUCGGGAAACCGGAGCUAAUACCGGAUAAUAUAUUGAACCGCAUGGUUCAAUAGUGAAAGACGGUUUUGCUGUCACUUAUAGAUGGAUCCGCGCCGCAUUAGCUAGUUGGUAAGGUAACAGCUUACCAAGGCAACGAUGCGUAGCCGACCUGAGAGGGUGAUCGGCCACACUGGAACUGAGACACGGUCCAGACUCCUACGGGAGGCAGCAGUAGGGAAUCUUCCGCAAUGGGCGAAAGCCUGACGGAGCAACGCCGCGUGAGUGAUGAAGGUCUUCGGAUCGUAAAACUCUGUUAUUAGGGAAGAACAAAUGUGUAAGUAACUAUGCACGUCUUGACGGUACCUAAUCAGAAAGCCACGGCUAACUACGUG